rfam:Triticum aestivum genome assembly, contig: Triticum_aestivum_CS42_TGACv1_scaffold_220715_3B
CACGUACUCCCUCCGUCCAAAAAUACUUGUCAUCAAAAUGGAUAAAAAGAAAUGUAUCUACAAUUAAAAUACAUCUAGAUACAUCCCUUUUUCUCCAUUUUGAUGACAAGUAUUUCCGGACGGAGAGUAGUACGUA